rnacentral:sRNA from 1 species
AGCAGCCGCGGUAAUUCCAGCUCCAAUAGCGUAUAUUAAAGUUGUUGCAGUUAAAAAGCUCGUAGUUGAACCUUAGGCCCGUGCGGGCGGUCCGUCCUCUGGGCGAGCACUGCCUCGUCGCGGGUCUCACCUUCUGGCGAGCGUGGAUGCCAUUCAUUUGGUGUCUGCGGGAACCAGGACCUUUACCUUGAAAAAUUAGAGUGCUCAAAGCGGGCUCUUACGCUUGAAUACAUUAGCAUGGAAUAAUGAAAUAGGACGACGGUUCUAUUUUGUUGGUUUCCGGGAUUGUCGUAAUGAUUAAUAGGGAUAGUUGGGGGCAUUCGUAUUCAAUUGUCAGAGGUGAAAUUCUUGGAUUUAUUGAAGACGGACUACUGCGAAAGCAUUUGCCAAGGAUGUUUUCAUUAAUCAAGAACGAAAGUUGGGGGAUCGAAGACGAUCAGAUACCGUCGUAGUCUCAACCAUAAACUAUGCCGACUGGGAAUCGGGCGAUGUUAUUUUUCGUGAC